rnacentral:rRNA from 1 species
UGGGGAAUAUUGCACAAUGGGCGCAAGCCUGAUGCAGCGACGCCGCGUGGGGGAUGACGGCCUUCGGGUUGUAAACUCCUUUCGCCAGGGACGAAGCGUUUUGUGACGGUACCUGGAGAAGAAGCACCGGCUAACUACGUGCCAGCAGCCGCGGUAAUACGUAGGGUGCAAGCGUUGUCCGGAAUUACUGGGCGUAAAGAGCUCGUAGNNAGUUUGUCACGUCGUCUGUGAAAUUCCACAGCUUAACUGUGGGCGUGCAGGCGAUACGGGCUGACUUGAGUACUGUAGGGGUAACUGGAAUUCCUGGUGUAGCGGUGAAAUGCGCAGAUAUCAGGAGGAACACCGAUGGCGAAGGCAGGUUACUGGGCAGUUACUGACGCUGAGGAGCGAAAGCAUGGGUAGCAAACAGGAUUAGAUACCCUGGUAGUCCAUGCCGUAAACGGUGGGCGCUAGGUGUAGGGACCUUUUGGGGUUUCUGUGCCGUAGCUAACGCAUUAAGCGCCCCGCCUGGGGAGUACGGCCGCAAGGCUA